GAAAAAGGCGCGCUAUUGAAAUCCUCGCUAAAAACGAGGAAGCACGGGAUCUGGUGGUCGAAAGGCUGUUCCAGCCACCUACUAAACUGGUGGAUCAGGAAAGCUGCCAAGAGCUCAUGAAAGCAUUACGGCUGGAGCGAUGGCCAAACGCCAUAAGGGCGGAGAGAGGGUCGCCCUACGCAGCCAUUUAUGCAGCGCUUGAUGAGUUAAACCUUUUGAAAAAAGAUGAGGGGGAAAGUCAGUAAGAUGUCGGAGAAGGAUGAGUUGGUUAAGAAGAAGAAUGAGAAGGAUCGGAAGAAGAAUCCUAAGCCGAAAGCUAAGACGAAGGCUAAGAAAGAAGAUGGUUUCAGUAGGUAGGAUGAAGUCACUCUGGUAGGAUGAAGUAUAGGUCGAUUGAAGUAGGGAAGGUCGAUUAAGGAAGAGAAUGUAGCUUCAAGAA
rnacentral:misc_RNA from 1 species